CCAACUUUUAAGUGAAUUAAAUACAAAACAGUUUCAUGUGUCACAGUUUCAUACACACACACAUGAACUUGUGGUUAGAGCUGGACAACUGGCCUCUAUAGCUCAGUUGGUGAGAGCGCUGCACCGGAAUCGCAGGGCCACAGGUUUGAUUCCUGCCAGUUUUUAUACAGGUAGUCAAUUUAUGCCAAAUAAAAUACCCCAUAGUUUCUGCGAUGAACAUUUGAAAUGGGCAAAGUUAGGAUCCGAGGAACAUAGGAUACUUUUUCCUAGUCUGACCAAGGAGUGCAUGUGUGUGACUUAAAUGUUGGCUCAAAGACUACUUUCGCACAAAAAUAUACCGCACAGUCAUGCUUGGGCCGGUUGUAUCUGUGGCACGGAUUACUAGGAAUAUCAGAAACGAAAUGUUUGAAAGGGACCGUUUGAAAAGAAAAGCAAUUUCGUCGGAUUUAAGUGAAGACUGGAGCCAGUAUAAACAUUAUAGGAAUCCGAAUAGUGUCAA